GGGAACUUCGGUUCCUGAGUAGAGCGGCGGACGGGUGAGUAACACGUGGGUAAUCUGCCCUCGGGUGGGGAAUAACUCAGGGAAACCUGGGCUAAUUCCGCAUGACACUUUUGAUGCAUACGUAUUGAAAAUCAAAGCUGGGGACCCUUCGGGGCCUGGCGCCUGAGGAGGAGCCCGCGGCCAAUUAGCUUGAUGGUGAGGUAACGGCUCACCAUGGCUACGAUUGGUAGCCGGCCUGAGAGGGCGGACGGUCACACUGGGACUGAGACACGGCCCAGACUCCUACGGGAGGCAGCAGUGGGGAAUUUUUGUCAAUGGGGGAAACCCUGAACAAGCAACGCCGCGUGAAGGACGAAGACCUUCGGGUUGUAAACUUCUGUCGGAGGGGACGAAAGCAGUCGUGGUUAAUACCCAUGAUUGUUGACGGUACCCUACGAGGAAGCCCCGGCUAACUCCGUGCCAGCAGCCGCGGUAAUACGGGGGGGGCAAGCGUUGUUCGGAAUUACUGGGCGUAAAGGGCGCGCAGGCGGGCGGGAAAGUCUCUCGUGAAAUCCCACGGCUCAACCGUGGAACUGCGGGGGAUACUACUCGUCUUGAGUCC
rnacentral:rRNA from 1 species